rnacentral:tRNA from 1 species
GGAGCCGGUGGCUGUAACUGGUGAUAGGCAGCGGUCGGUAAAAUCGCCUUAUGCGGGUUCGAUUCCCGCCCGGUUCCA